GGGACACCCCCUUGGUGGGGAGGCCACUACUGGACCAAAUGUCAGGUUCAGAAUAGGAGCAAAGUAUCAGAAGCUAUUAUUAUUAGAUUGACUUUGAUUGAUGAGGUAUCUUAGUUGUGCAUAUUGAAAAUUACGAGUAGCUUGAGGGCGUUUCUUGGAGAGGUGGUGAAGUUGGACUUUUUCCCAGAAAGACUGAUGCAGAAGAAAGAGGUAAAAGUUCUCUGACAGUGACGAGAAAAGAGAGAGUCAGAAACUGGACUCUCAGGCUAGCAGGCAACUCUGAGGACAUUUGGUCCAAGGUCUUUGAUGCCCAUUCCGAGAGAGAGACCCCCUCAGGAAGCCCCAGACCAUCAGUUACCUGAUGAAACCGUGGAAGAAUGUGGAAGUAAUCCCACGGUGCUGAUCCCUUAAGGGCUCGGUGAAGAAUGGAAACAAGAUUUACAAAUUCUGCCAAGUAAAUUGUGUAUUUUCACGUCUCUAAGAGACUCCUGGAACUUCAAGAUGGAGCUUGCCAGUGAAAUUUUUGGCAGCAUGAGAGCUCAGUGAAGGAGAAAGAGAAGGCUCUUCUUUGUUCUUCCAAGACUUGUGCAUAUGAAUGAUUUCUUACUCUACCCGUUCAGGAGACCAUCAGUUACCUGAUGAAACCAUGGAAGAACGUGGAGAUAACCCCACAGUGCUUAUCCUUCAAAGGCUCAGUGAAGAAUGGAACCAAGAUUUACAAAUUCUACCAAAUAAAUUGUGUAUUUUCACAUCCUUAAGAUGA
rnacentral:lncRNA from 1 species